rnacentral:rRNA from 1 species
UACGAAAGGUGCAAGCGUUACUCGGAAUCACUGGGCGUAAAGCGCACGUAGGCGGACUCGCAGGUCAAUUGUGAAAUACCUGGGCUCAACCCGGGAACUGCAGUUGAAACCGCUUGUCUUGAAUACCUGAGAGGGUGGGGGAAUACCUGGUGGAGAAGUGAAAUUCGUAGAGAUCAGGAUGGAACACCGGAGGCGAAGGCGCCUGCCUGGCAGUGUAUUGACGCUGAGGUGCGAAAGUGCGGGGAGCAAACAGG